GGGGGCCCGCAAGCGGUGGAGCAUGUGGUUUAAUUCGAAGCAACGCGAAGAACCUUACCAGGUCUUGACAUCCCGCUGACCGCUUAGGAGACUAAGCUUUCCCUUCGGGGACAGCGGUGACAGGUGGUGCAUGGUUGUCGUCAGCUCGUGUCGUGAGAUGUUGGGUUAAGUCCCGCAACGAGCGCAACCCUUGAUCUUAGUUGCCAGCAUUCAGUUGGGCACUCUAAGGUGACUGCCGGUGACAAACCGGAGGAAGGUGGGGAUGACGUCAAAUCAUCAUGCCCCUUAUGACCUGGGCUACACACGUGCUACAAUGGACGGUACAAAGGGCUGCCAACCCGCGAGGGGGAGCCAAUCCCAGAAAACCGUUCUCAGUUCGUAUUGCAGGCUGCAACUCGCCUGCAUGAAGCCGGAAUCGCUAGUAAUCGUGGAUCAGCAUGCCACGGUGAAUACGUUCCCGGGCCUUGUACACACC
rnacentral:rRNA from 1 species